rnacentral:rRNA from 1 species
AUACAUAGGGGGCAAGCGUUAUCCGGAAUUAUUGGGCGUAAAGGGUGCGUAGGCGGUCUAUUAAGUCUGAGGUGUAAGUGCAGGGCUCAACCCUGUGUUGCUUUAGAAACUGGUAGACUUGAGUGAGAUAGAGGCAAGUGGAAUUCCAUGUGUAGCGGUAAAAUGCGUUAAUAUAUGGAGGCACACCAGUGGCGAAGGCGGCUUGCUGGGUGUAUACUGGCGCUGAGGCACGAAAGCGUGGGGAGCAAACAGGAUUAGAUCCCCUGGUAGUCCACGCCGUAAACGAUGAGUACUAAGUGUUGCGAGAACGCAGUGCUGAAGUUAACAUAUUAAGUACUCCGCCUGAGUAGUACGUACGCAAGUAUGAAACUCAAAUGAAUUGACGGGG